AUUGAACGCUGGCGGCAUGCCUUACACAUGCAAGUCGAACGGUAACAGGUCUUCGGAUGCUGACGAGUGGCGAACGGGUGAGUAAUACAUCGGAACGUGCCCGAGAGUGGGGGAUAACGAGGCGAAAGCUUUGCUAAUACCGCAUACGAUCUCAGGAUGAAAGCAGGGGACCGCAAGGCCUUGCGCUCACGGAGCGGCCGAUGGCAGAUUAGGUAGUUGGUGGGAUAAAAGCUUACCAAGCCGACGAUCUGUAGCUGGUCUGAGAGGACGACCAGCCACACUGGGACUGAGACACGGCCCAGACUCCUACGGGAGGAAGCAGUGGGGAAUUUUGGACAAUGGGCGCAAGCCUGAUCCAGCCAUGCCGCGUGCAGGAUGAAGGCCUUCGGGUUGUAAACUGCUUUUGUACGGAACGAAAAGACUCUAGUUAAUACCUGGGGUCCAUGACGGUACCGUAAGAAUAGGCACCGGCUAACUACGUGCCAGCCGCCGCAGUAAUAC
rnacentral:rRNA from 1 species